AAUACCCAAUCCUGACACAGGGAGGUAGUGACAAGAAAUAACAAUACGGGGCUUAAAGUCUUGUAAUUGGAAUGAUGGGAAUCUAAACCUCUUCCAGAGUAUCAAUUGGAGGGCAAGUCUGGUGCCAGCAGCCGCGGUAAUUCCAGCUCCAAUAGCGUAUAUUAAAAUUGUUGCAGUUAAAAAGCUCGUAGUUGAAUUUCUGCUGCUCCGCCUCUGCCCCUCGACGGGCGUUUGCGCUGCGGCUUUUUUCGGAUUACGCUUGCGUCUUCCGGAUGAUUACUUUGAGAAAAUUAGAGUGCUCAAAGCAGGCUUUUGCCUUGAAUAGUUUAGCAUGGAAUAAUAAAGUAGGACUUUGGUUCUAUUUUGUUGGUUUUAGGUACCAAAGUAAUGGUUAAUAGGAACAGUUGGGGGCAUUCGUAUUUAA
rnacentral:rRNA from 1 species